GUGCAAGCGUUAAUCGGAAUUACUGGGCGUAAAGCGCGUCUAGGCGGUUUGGUAAGUCUGAUGUGAAAAUGCGGGGCUCAACCCCGUAUUGCGUUGGAAACUGCUAAACUAGAGUACUGGAGAGGUGGGCGGAACUACAAGUGUAGAGGUGAAAUUCGUAGAUAUUUGUAGGAAUGCCGAUGGAGAAGUCAGCCCACUGGACAGAUACUGACGCUGAAGCGCGAAAGCGUGGGUAGCA
rnacentral:rRNA from 1 species